GAUGAAGAACGCAGCGAAAUGCGAUAAGUAGUGUGAAUUGCAGAAUUCAGUGAAUCAUCGAAUCUUUGAACGCACAUUGCGCCCUUUGGUAUUCCAAAGGGCAUGCCUGUUCGAGCGUCAUUUGUACCCUCAAGCUUUGCUUGGUGUUGGGCGUCUUGUCUCUAGCUUUGCUGGAGACUCGCCUUAAAGUAAUUGGCAGCCGGCCUACUGGUUUCGGAGCGCAGCACAAGUCGCACUCUCUAUCAGCAAAGGUCUAGCAUCCAUUAAGCCUUUUUUUCAACUUUUGACCUCGGAUCAGGUAGGGAUACCCGCUGAACUUAAGCAUAUCAUAAGCGGAGGA
rnacentral:misc_RNA from 1 species